rnacentral:rRNA from 1 species
AUGAAAAUCAGUGGAUGGAAAGAAAAAUUAUUAUCCAUUAGUGGGAAGGAAGUUCUCCUCAAGUCUGUUGCACAAGUUAUUUCAACUUACGCUAUGUCUGUCUUCAAAUUUCCUAAAGAAACUUGCAAAGGAAUAACUAACAUGAUGUCAAAAUUUUAGUGGGGUGACAAGGACAAUCAAAAGUGGAUGCAUUGGAUGGCAUGGUGGAAACUGUGUGUUCCAAAAAAUCAAGGACACAUGGGUUUUUUGGACAUAUGUUUCAAUCUGGCGAUGCUGGCAAAACAAGGGAACCUAGAUAUUUUAUGUGCCACACUUUUGGGAGCGAACUAUUUUCCUGAUACUGAUUUGCCGAAUGCGAAGUUAAGAAAAGGCUCUUCUUAUACUUCACAAAGUACCUGUAACAACUAA